UGCAAGAUAAUCAUUUUUCAUUCAUCCAUUUUUAAGGCCAGAAAAAGCUGCGAUAGUACUCACUACCAAUCGUUCUCAUCCAAAUCCCAGAGAGCGAAAUUAAAAUGCAAUAAAAGAACCAUGAUUUUAACAUCAUAUUUAAGUUUGAUAAGACUUGACCCAUAAAUUUCAUCAGUAAUGCAACUCAACCUAUGCUUAUUGGUUCGGAUUUUUAAGAAAUGGUAAAGCAUAAACUACAACGAUUAAUUGAAAUAACAGGAGCGAUCAUUACCGUUUCUGGGCAGCUUCGG
rnacentral:misc_RNA from 1 species